AACUGCCUUAUCUCUGUUCCUGAGUGUGCACGAAAUGAAUCAGUACUCUUUGUUGCCCUGCUUGUGUACUACAACUUGUGCUUCAAAUUUUCAGUGAGUGCCAAACAAUGGUCUCAUUAGUGGAAGGCCACAUCGGCGAAAGUGAUAAAAUGCUUAAGCCGGAAUUAUCGUAUUUACGUACCGGUGACGCUACGGCAAUAUGUCCAGCCAUUAUCAUUAUGAUUAUGAUAGCGGCCAUCGCAACGGCCAUUCUAGUUUUUGGAGUUCGUUUUUACAUUACGGCGUUAGAAGAUUAAAAAAACUAGCCCUUCCAGAAACUGUCAGUAUUUUUUUCAUUUUGCUAAUUUAUUGUUUUAUAUCUAAUGUACUCGUAUUUAUUAAUUGGUGAAAAGUUGCUUACUUUUCGCAUUAUGAAUAAAGGCUAGUAAACUGC